GACUCCUACGGGAGGCAGCAGUGGGGAAUUUUCUGCAAUGGGCGAAAGCCUGACAGAGCAAUACCGCGUGAGGGAUGACAGUCCUAUGGAUUGUAAACCUCUUUUUUCAGGGAGGAAUAAAUGACGUGUACCUGAAGAAUAAGCAUCGGCUAACUCCGUGCCAGCAGCCGCGGUAAGACGGAGGAUGCAAGUGUUAUCCGGAAUCACUGGGCGUAGA
rnacentral:rRNA from 1 species